rnacentral:rRNA from 1 species
UACGGAGGGUGCGAGCGUUGUCCGGAAUCAUUGGGCGUAAAGGGCGCGUAGGUGGCCCGGUCAGUUCGUGGUGAAAGCGCGGGGCUCAACCCUGCGUCGGCCAUGAAUACUGCCGCGGCUGGAGCACUGUAGAGGCAGGCGGAAUUCCGGGUGUAGCGGUGGAAUGCGUAGAGAUCCGGAAGAACACCGGUGGCGAAAGCGCUCUGCUAGGCCGCAACUGACACUGAGGGACGAAAGCUAGGGGAGCGAAUGGG